rnacentral:rRNA from 1 species
GCCUACACAUGCAAGUCGAGCGGAACGAGUUAUCUGAACCUUCGGGGAACGAUAACGGCGUCGUGCGGCGGAGGGUGAGUAAUGCCUAGGAAAUUGCCCUGAUGUGGGGGAUAACCAUUGGAAACGAUGGCUAAUACCGCAUGAUGCCUACGGGCCAAAGAGGGGGACCUUCGGGCCUCUCGCGUCAGGAUAUGCCUAGGUGGGAUUAGCUAGUUGGUGAGGUAAGGGCUCACCAAGGCGACGAUCCCUAGCUGGUCUGAGAGGAUGAUCAGCCACACUGGAACUGAGACACGGUCCAGACUCCUACGGGAGGCAGCA